GGGAGGACAGGGAGCUGGAGGCCGGAGGCGUCCCUGGCAGUGGUUGUUGAUUGUGCUCUUCCUGGAAUAGAGCCUGGUACUAUGGCCAGGCGGAAGGCGCUCCCUGUACCCUCUGCCUUUCUCUCCAGCCACAGGGAGCUCGCGGUGAGAGCUAUUUUUUUCUAGGCAAUGCUUCUUUCUCCAGGAGUCUCAGGAACGGAGGAGGGGAGCAGCCAGGGCAGGUUUGUCCAGGUCUAAGCUUGGAGAGAGGGAAGUACAAUAAAUAGGCUUGCAGCCAGAAGAGGUUUCCCUCUGGAAGGCCACCCAUCUCCUCCGGGGAGGUGGGGUCAAGAGAGAAAGGCAAAUGGUGAGGGAUUUCGAUUCCUAGCUUUUUCCAGCACCCGGGUGGACAGAGGCCCUAAGCCAGCCUUCUGUUGCCAGAAUUUGCCAGCUGUUUGGAGGGGAAGGCCCUGGAGCUCAGAAAGGAGCUUAGAAACAGUCAGAGUAAUAACUCAGAGUCCCAAGAGUGCGUGUGGGCUGGCCUCCCUCUGCCUUCCUCCCGCUUUUCCUCCACCUUCUCCUCUUCUUCCCAGCCUGCUGGCAGCUCAUGGGGCACACCUGGCUGGCCUCGGAUCCUUUUUCCUACCUGACCUGGCUCUGUCUGACCCCCCCAGCCAGCCCUGGAUCAUUGUUCUGGGCUCCCCAGCUUCCAGGAGUCAUCCCAGAGCUGGAAAAACACUUUGAGACAGUCCUUCAUGUUCAGAGAGGGAAGCUGGAAAGCAGCGAGUUCCUUGAGGUUCCACGGACUGUCCCCACUUUCGCUUUAGGAAGGGGGAUAGGCUCCUGUGUCCUGUCCCUGGUCCACUACCCUGCCCCUCCCAGUUUAGAAAUGGGGAAGGGCCGCUUCAGUGCAGGAAGAGCCCAGAGGAAUACUGUCUCGGCUCCUGGGUGUGGCCCCGUCUUCGGCUGGCUCCAUAGUUAUUUAUUUGUCUGUGUGUGUAUGUGUGAGUGAGUUUUGCGGUUGGGAGACUGGAUCUGACUGAAAGCAGAAGUACCCACGCUCUGUGCGCUCUGCAGCAUGCAGAUUGGCCGGAACAGGACAGUCAGGAGAGGAAGACAUGGGCAGAGGCCCUUCUGCUAGGUGGCUGCUGCUGCUCUUUUUAAUUCCUGCUCAGCGCUUGCACACUUGAGCAUAAACAGCCCUUCCAUGUUGCUAGCAGCUGCCUUUCCUUGCUGGCUUUGGGCAGAAGAGCUGCCAAAAAUAACCAGGCGGGCACUUCUACUUGUGGGACACUCACUGUGGUGGCCUUGGGGCAGGCCUCCUUGCUCCCUGCAGGCCCCAAGGGCCUCCGGCUUCCGUGCCCAGACUGUCUGUGGCUGACUGCACCCCCCUCCCAAGACUCCCUCAGGUGAUGGCACUUUCCCUUUUAUUGCUUUGAGAGGGAGCCCAGGAGAGUGGAGGCACUAUUACGUGCUUGGAAGCCCUGCCAGGUGUCAUCCAGGGGCUCUUGUCCCACUGUGUCCCUGCGGGCCCUGUUGACACAGCUGGGGAAGUCUGGGGAGGCCUGUGCUGAGUGCUCCCCCUAGGCGCCUGGGCCAGACGCCUGCAGAGCCCCGCGCUGUUGCCAGGACUCCUGGUCCCCCUCCUCUUCCGCCUGGCCAGUCCUGCUCUCAGCUGACUGGGGAACUGGAAGGGUCAGGCCAUUUUGUUGCCCUCCAGGUGUUGAAGAUGAAUCAUGAAUGAUCUGCCCCUGCCCAGCAAGGGCGAAUGAAUUCAUACUUAUUGAGCUCUUACUUUGUGCCAGACACUUCAUAUAUAUACAUAUAUAUAUAUAAAACCCUCAUUUAAUCCUACAGUAAUACAUGGUAAAGAUAUUAUGCCCAUUUACUGGUAGGGAAACUGAGGCCCACAGAGAGGCAGGUGAUUGGAGAAGCUGGGACACUUUCUGUUUGACCCCAAAGCCCUGUCUUUUUAUCAGGCAGCUCCCACACCUCUCCUGGUUGUUUUCACGUGCACAGGGAACAAUGCUUUGACCCUUGGAAUGAAGUGUUGAUGGUAGGAAUUCAGGCACCAUUAGACUGGCUGAUAGGGGAAAUAUUUUGGGCAGGGAAGGGUGGGGAAGACCCCUCUGAGGCCUCUCUCUCUGAACUUUACAGGCCAGCCGGAAGCCCAGCCUGAGCCACCAGGCCCUGCUGCGGAGGUCUAUAGACACAUAGGGAUCAGCUCUGUGUGUGUUUGUGUGUGUGUUGGGGGUGGGUGGGCAGUGGUGGAUUGCUGGGAAGUCACUCAUGCAUGAGAGGAGUGGAAAGUAAGUUUAGGCCUCCCAGAGACCUUCUAAGCAUCUCCUCCUCCCCAAAUAUCCCAGCCACUGUUUGUCCUGAGAACAGCUCUGGGGCCACAGGUUGGGGUUAGGUGGGAUCUUGGGCCCCCCUUCCUGGCUAUAUCGUUCCAGCUGACUUGGCCCAGGUCCCAGAGAGCCCGGUUGGUGUGUACUUGAGCCUUGGGCUGGAUGCUCUGCCGGUGCUGGGUGCCAAAGGCCUCUGGGUGUAUUUCAGGAACAAUAAAGAAUAAAUCAACACAGGAGAAAAGGGCCUGCAGCAGCUGCUCAGAGACCCGGAGAAACGCAAGGAAUGUGUGAGCUUUUGGCAGAGGCCCUGCAUCUUGACCGGGGGCUGAGAAAGGCCAUGACACUGACUGGACGGCUGGACGAGUGAGGCAUGUGCCUGCUCUGCAGCCCAUCUGGGAGGCCCCGGGCAGCCAUGCUGAGAGCCCGCAUGCUUGCUGGCAGCAAGGUUUUGUGCUUCUUGAUCACUGACAGGUACUGGAGAGCCAUAUUGCAUAUUGUCCCCAUUCUUAUCCUCCAAACCAGCAGGGUGCCCCCUAAAAAAAAAAACAAAACUCCCUUCCCUCCCCCGCACCAGGCCAUCAGGUAGGUGUUGGUUCCUUCUAGGGUGGGCCAGGCGGGAUAAGCAGGGCCGAUGAAGAUACACACCUAGACACCCGCCUCCCCUUCCUCCCAAGAAGGAGAGGCUGCAGUGGCAGGUCUGAGAGAGCACUGAGUCUGGGAACAUCCCCUGGGGAUCCUGACUGUGUGUUCUUGGCCAAGUCACGUUACCUCUUGGGAUUUCAGUCCCAUCAGCCAUGAAAUCAAGAUUCGGACCAAUGGUUUUUGGGGUGGCCUUGAGCAUCUGUCUCCUUUACUCAGGAUGCACGGUGAACAAUCUUUAUUUGGAGAUUUCACUUCUUGCAAAGAAACCCUUCUGAGAGUCCCAUGCAGAGAGGUGCCGGGGCUGAUGCUCGGCGCCCUGGGUGGGGGCCAUUGGCACUAGUAAGGAACCCAAGCAUGGACUGACUUGACCCAGAUUUCAGGGUGCCAGAGGGAGGGGGCAGGAACCCCAGGCCCCCAUGGGGAUUUGAGGCAAGUCACGGCUUUAUUUUUAAAGAGCUGUUGGCCGACCGUGGGUGUGGGGCUGGAGUGUGUGGGAGGGAUGUGGCUUCCUCUUAAACUGAAGAUGUUGAGCUUUACAAGUUGGCCCAGUGAUGGUAAUCACCAGUAGUAGUAGAAUCUUCAUCUUCAAAAGCCACUCGCCUCCCAGGCCUCGCUCACUCACCUUCCCUGACCAGCCACACUUCCAGGACAUGACAGCAGUUUUCAGGCCAGCUGAAGCCAGGGAGAAGAUGGAAACAGCCCAGAAGCUGCUGCCAUCCAUCCCAAAGAGCCUGAGGCGCACCCCAGCAGGAGACUGAGCCUGCGGCCCUGCAGACGGGGCUCUGGGUUCCAGUCCUGGCGUAGCCUCUGUACUGCUGUGACCUCAGCUCUUCAGGUGCCUCUCUGAGAAGGGAGAGUGUCGUCAUACCCACCUUAUCUUGAGGAUUUAACGGGCUCCUGGGUGUAGGGUGCUCAGCACCAUGCUUGGCACACAGUAGUGCCCUCUAGAAAUGUCGGAGGUAGUGAUGAUGGUGAAAUAGAAACCUUAUUUUUGCGAUGUUGGGCUCCAAGCCCUGCCUCAUAUCUUGCCAAAAGGUGGGGCCUCCUAAAUGGUGGCAUGAAGUAUUGUUAUUGGCGUCCUUGAUUCUUGGUCCGGGCUGUGUAUCUGCAGGCAAGUUUCUUUCCUUUUCUGGGCUCUUUGUGGAAUUGAAUCGAGUGAACUGUGACAUCUCUUGAGAUUUGAAAUCUGUUUAGCUUCCCCCGCUGUUGCUCUGCUUUGGUGGUUGGCUCUGAAGAGAGGCACAAGCCACCUUUCUCCAUGUGGUGUGGAGACCCUUAAUCCAGAGGGUGAUCUUGCUGACUCUGCAGCUCCCAACUCAUCCCCAUAGUCCUCCCACCUCAAAGCACUAUGGGCUCUCCUAACUUCGAAGAGGGUCUUGAGAUGCUCGUGAUUUUGAGGGAGACUAUUCCUGCAGACCGGGGCUGGGAUUAUUUUUUGAGGGAGACUGUUCCUGCAGACCGGGGCUGGGAUUAUUUUUUGAGGGAGACUGUUCCUGCAGACCGGGGCUGGGAUUAUUUUUUGGGAGGGAGUCUUAUAUACUAUGUUCUACUUGGAAAUGGCCCUAGGAAAAGCAGCAGUUCUAUGAGGAAACAUGAGAAAGUGGAGGGUCUACAGCUGGCUUUGUGGGGUUCUCAUGUGUAGCAUUCCUUCUGAAGCCCACAACAUGAUUUGAGACUUUUACCUGGAAUUAUGAUGAAAAGACCAGGGACUUUAAAGGCGGAUGACAAGAUUUUGAAUCUUGCUUCUGCCACCUUAAUAACCGAGCCUCAGUUUCCUUCUGUAGCAUGGGGACAAUGAGGAGAUGCCUGGGUAGGGAGACUGUGUUUGUAAAUUAGGAUAUGUCAGCUGCCUGGCAUGGGGGAAGUCCUCGGUAAAUGUUAGCGUCCUUCUUUCGGGGAAAGAUCUGUCUUUUGGACAUUUGGUAGAUUGGCUGGGGGAGUGAAAUAUUUGCUUGUGACCAUUUUCCCAGGGAGAAGGGGUCUGGUUAACAAGCUGUAAUAGCCCUAAAGGGUUCUCCCUCCCCAGCUUGUUUUGAUUCUGGGAUCAAGCUUGGGGCUGGGGUCAGUUUCAGUGUGUGUCUGGGGUGGUGGCUGGGAGAGGGGCUACCCAGGCAUUUGCAAAAGGCUGAGAUCUGUGGCUUCCUAGGGCUGUGCAGAAGGUGUGGGGAAUAUGGUCUCAGUAAGGGGGUGGCCUUUCUGAGCUGUGAGAACUUGACAAGUUACUUCUAACCUUCAUUUCCUGUAAAUUCCCCAAAUUUCCUUCUAUUUUUGGUUUCUGAUUUUAUCUCAUUUCAAUUGGAGAACACACUUUGUAUGACUUCAGCCCUUUCAGAUUCAUUGAGGCUUGUUUCAUGGCCUAAUUUAUGAUCCUUCCAGGAGAAUACUCUGUGUCCCCUUGAGAAGAAUAUGUAUUCUCCUGUUGUUGGGUGAAAUGUUCUAUGGAUAUCUGUUAGGUCUGUUUGCUUUAUAGUGUUCAAGUCUUCUGUUUCCUUGUUGAUCUUUUGUUUAUUUGUUCUAUCCACUCUUGAAAGUGAAGGCUCCAAAUAUUAUUGUUGAAUUGUCUGUUUUCCCAUUCAGUUUUGAAAGUUUUUGCUUCGUGUGUUUUGGGGGCCCGGUUGUUAGGUACAAAUACGUUUGUAAUAUCCUGUUGAUGGAUAGACACUUUUAUUAUUAUGAAACAUUCUCCUUUGUCUCUAAGAGUUUUUGUCUUAAAACUUUUGUCUAAUAUUAGCUGAACCAUUCCAGCUCUCUUUUGGUUACUGUUAGCAUGGUAUACUUUUUUCCCCUUCCUUUUACUUUCAACCUAUUUGUGUCUUUGAAUAUAAAGUGUGUGUCUCUUGUUAACAGUUGGAUCAUGGUUUUGUUUUGUUUUUAUUCUAUUUCCCCAAUCUGUGCCUUUUAAUUGGGGUGUUUAGUCUGUUUACCUUUAAAAUAAUUAUUGAAAAGAUUAGAUUAUAUGUCUGCCAUUUUUGCUGUUUGAUUACCAUGUCUGAUGUCUUUUUUUGUUGUUCCUCUAUUACUCUAUUAAUAUUUUCUUUUGUGUUAAAUAGAUAUCAUUCCAGACCUGUAAAAUGGGACAAAGAAGAGUAAGGGUUAAAUAAGAUGUUGCCUACGGUGUGCUCAGCACAGUGUCUGCCAGGUAGUAAAAGCUCAGGUGGGGCUUAGGCCCUGUAAGAGCCACAGUCAGCCCUACGGCUCCUGGGACCCCUCAUGCCUCCUGGGCAGGGUACGGUGACCUGGCUGGUGGCUCCCAGGGGAGUGAGAAGCAGUAGGUACUUGGAAACUGCCCUGGGCCAGGAUCUGACCUCUAGCCUUUCCUCUGCUCCAGCUCCCGGGCACCCCCUGGGCUGCUCAGGAAGCACUGCAGAUUUCCCCACCUGGAGCCUGUACCCGGUUACCAGACCCAUGAACCGAUCUCUCAGUGGUUUGAGAACCACUGCUCAGCGCCGACAGCAGAGUGUGACAGAGACCUGAUGGCAGGCUUGGGUUAGAAUCCUGGCUCUUCCCUUGGGACCUCAGGCUGUGGCCUGGUAGAAGUUACUCUCCAGAGCUAACCUUUUCUCCUUUCUCAGGUAGGAAUAGGUGGUUGUACAAGUAAGCAAUACUCACACUCACUGGACACAUGAGCAGAGCUAGUGGCUACUCUGUAUUGUGGCUGUUGCUUGUCACAAAAGUGAUUCCUGGAUACAGGCCUUGGUCCCCUCUCCCUCGCUCCUAAAUUCCUCAAAGGCAGAAGAAACCAAUGAGUGGUGGGUUCUAGACCAGACAUGGUUACCUGACAACCAGUUCACCGUUUCUUCUCCAUUGGGCCACGUUGCCUCCAGGCCCUGCUUCUCCCAGCCUUGCUGCAGAAACAGAAGGGAACUGAAGAAGCCUUGUGGACUCGUGGUUAACACCGAGUAAAAGCACGCAGAUUCAGAAAGGGCGAGAACAGUGUGUGCUGGAGGGCUGCCUGGAGGAGGUAGGCUUUGAAGGGAGGCCGGUGGCAGCAGGGCUUCCAGGCAGAGUGAACUGCUCCAGCCAAGGUUCGAAGUCAGGGAAUUCUUCCCAGGGUCACCUAUUCCCUGCAUGUAUCUCGAGCCCCAGGACAGGCUACCUUGCAUUAUAAUUUAUUUGUGUUUCUGUUCUUCUCCCCCACUGGACUGGUAGCUCUGUGUGGGUAGGGACUGUACCUCAUCUCCUGUGUCUCCUCAGAGCCUGGCUUAUAGCCAGUUUUCACCAAAUGCUUGUUGAGUGAAUGAAGGGGCCGUGGGCAGGCCUGCAGGGCUACAGAAGGGUGUGUGUGUGAAAGAGAGGGGGAGCAGGCAGGGCAGGGCCACGAUGAGGGAGGUCCCUGCAAGUGGCCUUCUCUGUAUGUUAGUCUGGGGCAGAAUCUGGCACUGGGGCUCAGGCACAGACUCCAGGGAGCCCUGCCCUAGACCUGCCAGCAAGCAAGGCCCUUCCAGAAGAGGAGCCAGGCGCUUCCAGAAGGGGAGGGUGGAGCUGGAGCAGCCUCUGGUGGCGUGAACCCUGUAGGGCCUAGAGACAGUUGUGAAGUCCCCAUGAAGCCCUCUCCAGAGGCUCAGUCACUGAAGGGCUGGCUUCAGGGACACUUGCUUUGUCUCUUCUGGAGACAGCCCAAGCCUGCCAGCUUCCACUUUCCCCCGUCUGCCCCCCCUCCCCGGAAGUCCCGAGUGCUGUAGAAGGGGAUUUCCUGAGCUGCCUGUGGUCGUUGGUGGCCCUUGCCCAGGAGGGAAGCAGGCCAGUCCCCCCACCCCGAGUGUGGACAAAAGCUGGACCAGGAGCUCAGUCCUUUCCAGGCUCUGCCUCGACCUUGAAGUUUUCUCUCUGCCUCAGCUUCCCUGCUGUAAAACGGAUCUGGGUGUCCCGACUUUCUCAGACAUCCUGGGGGUGUUUGUGGGGGCAGAAGGGGAGGGGACGAUAAAGGGAGAUGCCUGAAUGGAGCCCCAUAGCAGGUGCCUCCCAUGACAGAGGAUUUCCUCUCACUUGUAUCCCUUUAAAAGCAUCUCCGUGUUGGCAUUGUUAUAGUCCAAGCUCAAACUGCAGGCAUCUCGAACUCUGGCCGAGCCUCUGAGCCUGUCCAGCUUGAUGGCUGGGACCCCUGGGAGUCGUGACACGGUGGCCUGUCAGCCUGGCCUCUGCAUUUCAAGGCUGAGGUUCAGUCUGGAGAAGUGAUAAUCUGAGGACUCUCUCUGGGCUGGGAACAGGCAGAUCAUGGGUCUGCUCUCUCACACCCCUAGGGGAACUGACACUUGUGGGAGGCAGGUCCUCAUCUCUGUGGCUGGCGUCUCCUUCCUUAUUGGUUUUGCAUGCCUCCUGAGAACAGGACUUGUGUGUCCAGUGGCUUGGAAAAAUGGGGCCCUUCAGCCUGGGUGUGAACUUCCAGUUAGAGACGGGCACACAGCACUGCAAAUGAUUACACUGUGCCCAGAGGCAAGGUCUACCUAGGGCCUGGGCAACUCUAGCUGGCCCACGAUGGCAGCUGCAGGCCAUUUGCCCAGUCUGCCUGCAGCCAAUGGGCCCAGAAUAUCUGAGCGAGAACUUUUCAGGAUAUGAGCCUGGGCUGAAGGGCCAGCUGGGCCAUGCCAGGCUCCUCUGGAAAGGGCCUGUUGUCACUGCCCUGGGCAUCAUAGCCAGACACAUUGGCUCUGCCCAGCCAUGUCAGGACACGAGGUAAACAGAUCCACAGGGACAACAGUGGGGGGCUAGCACUUUCUCAGUCGUCCUGACCUGCAUGUGGGGCAGUGAGUGAGAGUCAGGGGACAAGUAGCUUAGGUGCCCACAGUUGGAAAAGGAUUUGUGUUCAGCUUAGUGGAUGGGGUCUGGGGCCACUGAUGGGGUUAUAAGGCUGGACUUUACUUCAUCGCAGGGUGAUGUGCUCAGGAGCUCUGAUGUACAUCAGAGAGAGGGACUGGAAGUCAGAGCUGGGCAGGAGCCCAGGGUGGACACACUGGCAUGAACAGUGGCUCUGCCCAGGCAGGGCUCUGACUCACUUUGGGCGCAGUCUUGAAUGAGCAACCUAAGAGGCAGGUACAAGCCGAGAACCAAAGUACAAUGAUCUGUUGACUCUGGCUCCCUGGAGCUUGUUGUCUGCUGGGGGACAAAGAAAUAGGCAUCUGGAAUUCAGUGGGCUGAGCCCAGCCUUGGCGUUUAGGAGGUAUUAUGGGCUCAGAGUAUAGCCCCUGGCUCCGACUUGGGAUGAGGGAAGACUUCCCAGAGGAAGCAGUGUCUAUCAGACCUGCAGGAUGAGCAGCACUUGGUCAGAUGAAAAGGGUGGAAAGGUGUAGUGGGCAGGGGAACCGCCUGGUCAGAGACCUGGAACAAAGUGGGAACAACGUUUUGGAGCAGGAGCCACUCUGAAUGAUGGUUCCAGCAUGGAGUGUUGACACAAAUGGCAGAAGCCCAAGUCUGCAGGGACUUGUGGGCCGGGUGGGGAGUUUAGACUUUGUCCUAAGAUAGCUAGAUAUGGAGCUGGCUGGCCUAGGGAUCUGGGUCCUUGUUGGGUGCCUUAUUUAGGUUUGUUUGCCUCACGUUGGAGAUGCAUGAGCUCUGACUCCCCUUCUUCCUGGUGCUGAGUUUGUGGGGCCAGAGGUGGCAGAGGUAAGAGCAGGAACUUGGAGCAUUAGCAUCCUGAGGUGGAGGGAUCCUUCCAUCAUCCCCAGGCCAGAGCUGAGGCCCCAAGGCCACUGGGACUGGGCUGGGCACCCCUUUCCCGGCCUCUGUAACUUUGACUCAUAGCAAUCUCGGCUCUCUGAAGACUGCACCGAAUGCCCCAAGCUUGAGGGUUGUCCCCUUAGUGGCCAUGGCCUAGCCCCAUGGCCAUUGAGGGCUCACUGGCCUCUCCCAGUCAAUGUCCACAUGCAGCUGGGCUGCUGAUGGCACGUGGGGAGCAGUGUGUGUUCGAGUUGCCUUCCUUGGAGAGCAUGGUGUCACCACCAGUGCAAAACACCCAAGAGCCUUUUCGGCACCUUCCCUCAUGUGUCCGCAGAACACGUGUAGGUUCAGCGCUGUUUUCUUUUCUUUGUGCACACUGCUUUCCUCUGUAGAGAGAAAGUGUUUCUCACUGUAGGUCCUCCUGAAAGCCCCAGAGGUCCCUGGCUGUUGAGAUCAGGUGCUGGCUGUGUCUUCUGCCCAGGGCUGUCUGUGGUGUGGUCAGGGACUGGUUGCAGCAGCGAGGCUCCCGGAGGAAGGCAAGAGCGCAUAGAGCCUUGACAGACAGUCAAACAGACUGAUAGAGUGGGUGUGAGUGUCUGGGGCCCCAUGAUGUCUGUGGGUUUCCUUUUGCCGUGUUUCUGCAUCCGUUUGUCAGAGGCCCUGCAGCUGGUCCCAAGGGUGAGCUGCCUGCAGGAGUUCCUUCUUAUACCUUGUUCCCUGCAACCUCAGGGUUGCAUCGGGUGGGAACCUUCAGAAAGGAUGGCUCCCUAUGUCUCCCUCACUGUGAGGAAGGCCAGGCUGACUUCCACCAGAGGGACAGAGGAGGAGGGCUGGGGCCCAAGAAAUGGGAGGAUGUGGCUUGGGCCUGGGCAGAGCUGCAGGCUGUGAGGUGUGAGUGAGCUCAGAGCUGGAAGCCCCAGCAGUAGCCCCCAGAACUGAGGCAGGGGUGGGCUUGCAGGGGCUGGAGGGUCCAGCUCUGAGAGUGAGGUGGAAGUGACCAGCACAGUCUCAGGUCCUCCCUGUGGGUGGACCUCCCACGGCUGCUGGUGUCUCUGUGGUGUGGGCCCCUCCACCCCACCUUCCUUCUCUUCCUGCAGGUCUGAGGGCCUCAGCUGUACUAGGGCAAAAUAGGAGAGGUUUACCCCGCCAGCUGUUCAGUUAAGGGGCUUCCCAGCACCAAUGAGGAGGGAGAUCCGUGCCCAGACAAUUCUUGCUGUGCUCUGGGAGGGUGGUAUGCAAAGAGGGCCCUGGUGUCUUAGCAGUAUGCCUUGGUGGUGGUAGUCACUAAGUCAUGUCCAACUCUUGUGAUCCCAUGGACUGUAGCCUGCCAGACUCCUCUCUGUCCAUGGGAUUCUCCAGGCAAGAAUAUUGGAGUGGGUUGCCACUUCCUUCUCCAGGGGAUCUUCCCAACCCAGGAAUUGAACCUGCGUCUCCUGCAUUGCAGGCAGAUGAUUUACCAAGUGUUAUGAGGGAAGCCCAGCCCGGCAUGUCUUAGGAAUGAGGAAUGAGAGCUUGGUCUUGGAGUUCAAGCCCUGGCUCUGCAGGAUCAUUACCGUGUGACCUUUGGCAAGUUAUUUAGCCCUUCAGAGCCUAACUCACCUGUAAAUUAGAGGUUUAAAUAACAGGGCUUCAUGCUUUGGCUUCAUGCUGCUUUAUAAAGCUGUUGUGGGAAUUAAACAUGUGCAGAGUACUUAGGAUCUGCCUGGCACGGUGCACUCUCGUUCUUAUUAUUAUAAAUACUGACUACUGCCGCCACUACUACUUCUUGCCCUGCUGUCUUGGUGUGUCUUCCCCUCCUACCUCCGGGCUUCUCAGGUGUCUUCCACUCUUUUCUCCAUCCCCCCGGACAAUGAUCUUUUUUUGAGGGUCACAGGCUUGGGUAUCUGUGCUCUUAGCAUUAUUAGCAGUGUUCCAGUGGGGGGUGCAGAAGCUUCAGCCUCCCCAGAGUUG
ensembl:lncRNA